UACGGAGGGUGCGAGCGUUGUCCGGAAUCACUGGGCGUAAAGGGCGCGUAGGCGGCCUGGCAAGUCGGUGGUGAAAGCCCGUGGCUCAACUACGGGUCGGCCACCGAUACUGCUAUGGCUCGAGUUUGGUAGAGGCAGAUGGAAUUCCGGGUGUAGCGGUGGAAUGCGUAGAGAUCCGGAGGAAGACCGGUGGCGAAGGCGGUCUGCUGGGCAGUUUCUGACACUGAGGCGCGACAGCGUGGGGAGCAAACAGG
rnacentral:rRNA from 1 species